CUUCUAAUUGGAAACCCAUUGGAUAGUGUUACUUGAUCAUAGCAUAAGCAUGGCUGCAUAUUCAGUUCCACCUGUAGAAGAGUUGCUGUCAAAAAGAGUUCAAGAAAUGGUCCUUCAUGGGGAGGAGCCACUACGACCUUAUAUUUGCAGAAGUGGUGAAGAUGUUGAUGAAAAAGAAGACAUCAUGGAUACUUCUCCAAUUCCUAUAAUAUCUAAACCUCCUGUCUUCUUCACCAACAUUAGAUAACGAAUGCGAACAAGAGUUGGAGAAACUUGGAUCAGCUCUAUCUUCUUGGGGAUGUUUUCAGGGAAUAGCACAUGGGAUUUCAGCUUCUUUACUGGACAAGAUCCGCCAAGUUUCAAGGGAAUUCUUCAACCAGCCAAUGGAAGAGAAGAACAAGUAUGCUAAAUCAGUUGUUGAUUUCCAAGGUUAUGGAGCUGAUCCUGUUCCAGAACAAGGUCAGUUCCUUGAUUGGUCUGAUCGUCUCUUCCUCGAGGUGUUCCCUGAAGAUGGAAGACAGUAUAACCUCUGGCCACAAAUCCCAAUAUCAUUCAGAGAGGUCUUAGAAGAUUAUUCUGAGAAAAUGAUAAGGGUCACAGAAAUUACCUCCAAAGCUAUGGCAAAGUCGUUGAAGCUAGAAGAAAAUUGCUUCUUGGAACAAUUUGGAAAACAAGCACAACUGCAUGCGCGGUUUAACUACUACUCGCCAUGUCAGAGGCCUGAUCUGGUUCUUGGCUUAAAACCCCAUGCUGAUGGAACAGGAUACACAAUUAUUUUGCAAGAUGAAGUAGGACUCCAAGUGCUUAAGGAUGGCAAAUGGUAUACAGUACCAAAAAAUCCUACAGCUCUGCUUGUUCUCAUGGGUGAUCAAAUGGAGAUAAUGAGCAAUGGAAUAUUCAAGAGCCCGGUGCAUAGGGUAGUGAGUAAUUCAAGGAGGGAUAGAAUUUCUAUCGCAAUGUUCUACACGCCUGAAUUAGGGAAAGAAAUCAGACCAGAAGAUGACUUAGUUAAUGUGGACAGACCAAGGAUAUACAAGAAAGUGACAGAUUAUGCAGAAACUCACUGGAAGUUUUACCAGCGUGAUAUGAGAGCACUACACACUGCACACAUUUAGAACUACUAUCUAUACAUGUCUUCCUCAUGUUGUUUGGGCAUGGAUAGAAAGUCUACAACUCCAAUUUUGGCUUUACAUUUGUUUCACCUCAUGUUCGGAAGAAGAAGGCACCAUUCUAAUAAAUGAAUCAUCCAAUGAUGAUUUGGUUUGCAAA